GACGAACGCUGGCGGCGUGCUUAACACAUGCAAGUCGAACGAUGAAGCUGGAGCUUGCUCCGGUGGAUUAGUGGCGAACGGGUGAGUAACACGUGAGCAAUCUGCCCUUGACUCUGGGAUAACUGCGGGAAACUGUAGCUAAUACCGGAUAUGAGGCUUGGAGGCAUCUCCAGGUCUGGAAAGAAUUUCGGUCAAGGAUGAGCUCGCGGCCUAUCAGCUAGUUGGUGAGGUAAUGGCUCACCAAGGCGACGACGGGUAGCCGGCCUGGGAGGGUAACCGGCCACACUGGGACUGAGACACGGCCCAGACUCCUACGGGAGGCAGCAGUGGGGAAUAUUGCACAAUGGGCGAAAGCCUGAUGCAGCAACGCCGCGUGAGGGAUGAAGGCCUUCGGGUUGUAAACCUCUUUUAGCAGGGAAGAAGCGAAAGUGACGGUACCUGCAGAAAAAGCACCGGCUAACUACGUGCCAGCAGCCGCGGUAA
rnacentral:rRNA from 1 species